GGACCCGCACAAGCAGUGGAGCAUGUGGUUUAAUUCGAUGAUACGCGAGGAACCUUACCAGGGCUUAAAUGUAGUGGGACAGGUCUAGAGAUAGACCCUUCUUCGGACUCAUUACAAGGUGCUGCAUGGUUGUCGUCAGCUCGUGCCGUGAGGUGUCAGGUUAAGUCCUAUAACGAGCGCAACCCCUAUCGUUAGUUGCCAGCGAGUAAUGUCGGGAACUCUAACGAAACUGCCAGUGCAAACCGUGAGGAAGGUGGGGACGACGUCAAAUCAUCACGGCCCUUACGUCCUGGCCACACACGUGCUACAAUGGUAGGUACAGAGGGAAGCCACCCCGCGAGGGGGAGCGGA
rnacentral:rRNA from 1 species